rnacentral:rRNA from 1 species
GAUGAACGCUGGCGGCGUGCCCAAUACAUGCAAGUCGAGCGAACGGACGAGAAGCUUGCUCCUCUGAUGUUAGCGGCGGACGGGUGAGUAACACGUGGAUAACCUACCUAUAAGACUGGGAUAACUUCGGGAAACCGGAGCUAAUACCGGAUAAUAUUUUGAACCGCAUGGUUCAAAAGUGAAAGACGGUCUUGCUGUCACUUAUAGAUGGAUCCGCGCUGCAUUAGCUAGUUGGUAAGGUAACGGCUUACCAAGGCAACGAUGCAUAGCCGACCUGAGAGGGUGAUCGGCCACACUGGAACUGAGACACGGUCCAGACUCCUACGGGAGGCAGCAGUAGGGAAUCUUCCGCAAUGGGCGAAAGCCUGACGGAGCAACGCCGCGUGAGUGAUGAAGGUCUUCGGAUCGUAAAACUCUGUUAUUAGGGAAGAACAUAUGUGUAAGUAACUGUGCACAUCUUGACGGUACCUAAUCAGAAAGCCACGGCUAACUACGUG